AAACUCAAAUGAAUUGACAGGGACCCGCACAAGCAGCGGAGCGUGUGGUUUAAUUCGUUGCUACACGAAGAACCUUACCUAGGUUUGACAUAUAGGUUGUAGGGAACUGAAAAGGGACCCGACCCUUCGGGAGCCUAUACAGGUGUUGCAUGGCUGUCGUCAGCUCGUGUCGUGAGAUGUUCGGUUAAGUCCGCUAACGAGCGCAACCCUCGUCGUAUGUUACAAGUGUCAUACGAGACUGCCGGUAAAAAGUCGGAGGAAGGUGAGGAUGAUGUCAAGUCAGCAUGACCUUUAUAUCUAGGGCUACACACACGCUACAAUGGUCUGUACAAUGGGUUGCCAAGCCGCGAGGCGGAGCCAAUCCUAAAAAGCAGGCCUCAGUUCAGAUUGCAGUCUGCAACCCGACUGCAUGAAGCCGGAGUUGCUAGUAACCGCAGGUCAGCAAUACUGCGGUGAAUACGUUCCCGGGUCUU
rnacentral:rRNA from 1 species